rnacentral:rRNA from 1 species
GAUGAACGCUGGCGGCGUGCCUAAUACAUGCAAGUCGAGCGAACGGACGAGAAGCUUGCUUCUCUGAUGUUAGCGGCGGACGGGUGAGUAACACGUGGAUAACCUACCUAUAAGACUGGGAUAACUUCGGGAAACCGGAGCUAAUACCGGAUAAUAUUUUGAACCGCAUGGUUCAAAAGUGAAAGACGGUCUUGCUGUCACUUAUAGAUGGAUCCGCGCUGCAUUAGCUAGUUGGUAAGGUAACGGCUUACCAAGGCAACGAUGCAUAGCCGACCUGAGAGGGUGAUCGGCCACACUGGAACUGAGACACGGUCCAGACUCCUACGGGAGGCAGCAGUAGGGAAUCUUCCGCAAUGGGCGAAAGCCUGACGGAGCAACGCCGCGUGAGUGAUGAAGGUCUUCGGAUCGUAAAACUCUGUUAUUAGGGAAGAACAUAUGUGUAAGUAACUGUGCACAUCUUGACGGUACCUAAUCAGAAAGCCACGGCUAACUACGUGCCAGCAGCCGCGGUAAUACGUAGGUGGCAAGCGUUAUCCGGAAUUAUUGGGCGUAAAGCGCGCGUAGGCGGUUUUUUAAGUCUGAUGUGAAAGCCCACGGCUCACCCGUGGAGGGUCAUUGGAAACUGGAAAACUUGAGUGCAGAAGAGGAAAGUGGAAUUCCAUGUGUAGCGGUGAAAUGCGCAGAGAUAUGGAGGAACACCAGUGGCGAAGGCGACUUUCUGGUCUGUAACUGACGCUGAUGUGCGAAAGCGUGGGGAUCAAACAGGAUUAGAUACCCUGGUAGUCCACGCCGUAAACGAUGAGUGCUAAGUGUUAGGGGGUUUCCGCCCCUUAGUGCUGCAGCUAACGCAUUAAGCACUCCGCCUGGGGAGUACGACCGCAAGGUUGAAACUCAAAGGAAUUGACGGGGACCCGCACAAGCGGUGGAGCAUGUGGUUUAAUUCGAAGCAACGCGAAGAACCUUACCAAAUCUUGACAUCCUUUGACAACUCUAGAGAUAGAGCUUUCCCCUUCGGGGGACAAAGUGACAGGUGGUGCAUGGUUGUCGUCAGCUCGUGUCGUGAGAUGUUGGGUUAAGUCCCGCAACGAGCGCAACCCUUAAGCUUAGUUGCCAUCAUUAAGUUGGGCACUCUAAGUUGACUGCCGGUGACAAACCGGAGGAAGGUGGGGAUGACGUCAAAUCAUCAUGCCCCUUAUGAUUUGGGCUACACACGUGCUACAAUGGACAAUACAAAGGGCAGCGAAACCGUGAGGUCAAGCAAAUCCCAUAAAGUUGUUCUCAGUUCGGAUUGUAGUCUGCAACUCGACUACAUGAAGCUGGAAUCGCUAGUAAUCGUAGAUCAGCAUGCUACGGUGAAUACGUUCCCGGGUCU